rnacentral:rRNA from 1 species
AUAUUGCGCAAUGGAGGAAACUCUGAUGCAGCGACGCCGCGUGAACGAUGAAGGCUUUNCAGUAGNANAGUUCUGUCUUAGGGGANGCUAAUGACGGUACCCUAGGAGGAAGCCUCGGCUAACUAGUUGCUAGCAGCCGCGGUAAUACGUAGGGGGCAAGCGUUGUCCGGAUUUAUUGGGCGUAAAGGGUUCGCAGGCGGCCUUUUAAGUAAGAUGUGAAAGAAUACAGCUCAACUGUGGUAAGCAUUUGAAACUGAAAGGCUUGAGUUAAGGAGAGGAAAGUGGAAUUCCUAGUGUAGCGGUGAAAUACGUAGAUAUUAGGAGGAACACCAGUGGCGAAGGCGGCUUUCUGGACCACAACUGACGCUGAGGCUCGAAAGCGUGGGGAGCAAACAGG